rnacentral:tRNA from 1 species
CGGAGAUUAGCACAGCCUGGUAGUGCGCUCGGUUUGGGACCGAGAGGUCGUUGGUUCGAAUCCAGCAUCUCCGACCA